UGCUGAGUGCAGGGUGGUUGGGGGGACAGAGGAAGGGUGGAGGCUGCUCCCACUAGCUAGAGAUGUCACAGUGGGCAUAUUUGAUAGGUGGUUCACCCUCCUAUGGGCUUCUGCUGAGUGGGUAAGGGAGUGAGCUGGCAGGUAGGGAAGCCAUUAUCAUUUGUUUUUAUUUAUUUGGGGUUUUUUAAUUCUUACUUUCUGUCUUAGAAAUAAUAACAAGUUUUGGUUCCAGGGCAGAAGAGCAGUAAGGGCUAGGGAAUGGGGGUUGAGACUCUCCCAGAGUUGGAAAGCUAGGAAAUGUCUGAAGCUCCAUUUGAACCCAGGACCUCACAUCUCUAGGUCUGGCUCUCAGUCCACUGAGCCACCUAUCUGCCCUAUCAUUAUUCUUUAUUAUGCUUCUACUGAAUGACCAAGUGGUGGGGGAAGCAAGAUGGAAAUAAGAAGGAAACACAAAAUAAGGGACAGCCUUCUCUUCUGAGGUGGUGCACUGAAUUCAAGCAGAAAGUGAACAAUUUAGGAUUGCUAUAAUGGAGCACAGUUGGACUAAAUCAUCCCAGAAGCCCCUUUCUAGCUCGGAGUUCCGGAGAUUCUUUGCUUGCUCUUCUAGGAUCGAAAUCUUCCAUACCCACAGAGAGGCAAGUGACGGUCCUGUGAAAGGCUCGCAGGGGAUCAUGGUCUGAGGAGGCCUUGAAGCCUGCUGGUCCUAGUGACAGAGACCCCUGAGAACUUGGGCACCGGACAGAACUCACUAGGGCAUCCCAGAGGCCCAAAUCAGGCAGGCCCAGAAGCCAGUCAUCGAGGCUAGUCCAAACACCACUGUGAAACAGGAAAACUUUGUUUUGGUGAACUUCCUUGUUUUUUUGCCCUCCUGUUUGCACUCUGGCACCCAGUAUCCAUUUCUCUCCUUCUUGAUCAAAACCUUUCCAGAAAAGAUCUGAAAAACUCUCCUUAAAAGAAGUGGUUGUGAUUGAUGAGGCUUAACAUGAUGCCCCUUCCAGAGGCAUGUGCAUUUGAACAAAUAUAUUAAUAAUAUAUGUAUUAAUAAUAAUAUAAAAUAAAAAUUAAAGUAUAACUUCA
rnacentral:lncRNA from 1 species